rnacentral:rRNA from 1 species
UACGAAGGGUGCAAGCGUUGCUCGGAAUUAUUGGGCGUAAAGGGUACGUAGGUGGUUACGUAUGUCGGGGGUGAAAUCCCUGAGCUUAACUCAGGAAGUGCCUUGGAAACGGCGUAGCUAGAGUACUAGAGAGGUUCGUGGAAUUCCCGGUGUAGCGGUGAAAUGCGUAGAGAUCGGGAGGAACAUCAGAGGCGAAGGCGGCGAACUGGAUAGUAACUGACACUGAACUACGAAAGCGUGGGUAGCAAACAGG